rnacentral:tRNA from 1 species
GGUGGUACAGUGAUUAAACUGCUUGGCUGAUAACCAAAAGGUUGGUGGUUCGAACCCACCAGCCGCUU